rnacentral:rRNA from 1 species
UUAAGCAUGCAGAUCCAUUUUCUGCCACCGAAUACAUUAGCAUGGGAUAAUGGAAUAGGACCCUGUCCUCCUAUUUUCAGUUGGUUUUGGCAGCGCGAGGACUAGGGUAAUGAUUAAUAGGGAUAGUUGGGGGCAUUAAUAUUUAAUUGUCAGAGGUGAAAUUCUUGGAUUUAUGAAAGAUUAACUUCUGCGAAAGCAUCUGCCAAGGAUGUUUUCAUUAAUCAAGAACGAAAGUUAGGGGAUCGAAGACGAUCAGAUACCGUCGUAGUCUUAACCAUAAACGAUGCCGACCAGCGAUUAGGAGACGUUGAAUACAAAACACCACCAUCGGCGCGGUCGUCCUUGGCGUCUGUCCCUUUCAACGGGGGCAUGGCGCGAGGGCGGUUUAGCCCGGUGGCACCGGUGAAUGACUCCC